UCUGCUCACUCUCUCCUUGGAAGGGGCUGUUUAUACACCUGAGGUGCUUAGGAUGAGGAUGGGGCUGUGGUCAGGUUCACACUGUGCAGGGCUCCAAAGAUGCCUCGGGGAGUCAGGACACGGGAGACGGGUGGGGAGGUCUGCUUGCAGUCAGGUUGGACAGGGCUCCAUGUACAUCCUUGGGGUCAGGACUUGGGGAGCUCUGUUUCCAGCCACGUGGUUACAAGGCUCAUCCCAGGCCUGAGGUCGGCAGGACAUGGGCCUGGCUUCCUGGUCACAUACAUGUCUGGUAGGGCCCGAGCUGCAGGCAGGAUGAGGGGGAUUGGGGGGAAGGCUGUGCUUCCCUAUUCUCUUUCUCACAGCCCACCUACAAGUGAUGUGGUCAGGACCUGGGGCCUUGACUCACAGGUUCUUUCUCGAUGGCGGCACUCGUGCAGAACGAGGAUGAGAUGUAGGGUGCUCUGCUGUCGGCCACACUCCUCAGGAGUCCACGUAGCCCAUUUUGUCCAGAGAGAGGGACAGUGUUCCUGUUCAUGUGGUAGAGCUCCUUCUCCGACACCAGUGGAGAGGUUGCAGACUUGGGAAGCUGCGCUCUCAUCCUGCCUGUCCCAGUGGGCCCAAAUCCCUGAGGUGCUCAGCAGAGAGAUGGACUGCUCACCUCCACCGUGUUCCCGGUUGCACACGUGGGUGUGGUUGUCAGGCCAGGAGGAUGCUCUGACCCCGUUCUGAUAGCAGAGGGCUCCACGCAGGCCUUCGCCUGUGCGGACGUGGUGCGGCCCUGCUCUUGUUCCAGAGGCACAGGUUUGCAGCCAGUAGUGAGCUCCCGAGGAGAUGGGGUGGCUUGGUUUACAUUGCUGUUGAGGAGCGCUGCACACUCUGAGGAGCUGUUGACUGCCUGCUGGGUGGCGCUGGUCACAUCCAUGUGCUAGAGGUUUUCCACAGGCCUGCUUUGGUCUGGAAAUGGUGUGUCUCUUGUCCUCUGCCCCUUCCACGGGGCUGCGUUGACAAUGGCGAUGCACAGGGCAUGUCUGUGCUCUGAUCGAGUUGACUUGGCCAAGGGCAUACGCCUCGAAGCUGUUCAGCAAAUGGAGGGUCUCUAUCCAUGUCCACAUUCUCUGGGACUCCACCAGUGCCUGAGGGCAUCAAGAUGUGGUGGAGGCCCCUGCUCACAUCUGUGCUGUGUGGUGCUACCCACUUUCCUGGCAUGGUCAGGAGAGGAGUGUCUAUGCUCAGCACGCUGUAGCAGACUCCACACCAUGGGAGACCUGGCUGGACUGACCGUGACUCCCCUCGAGUCAUCAGACCAGUCUCAGCAGGGGGCAUCUGGCGGGUUGUUGAGGCCAAGCUUACCAUGUACAAGGUUCUGUGUGUACUUCAGUUAGGGAGGACAGGUGAGGGACAUGCAGGGAUGACAGGUGAGGGACAUGUGGGGGUGACAGUUCAUGGACAUGCAGGGAUAACAGUUGGGGGGGCUGCAGGAACCCUGGUCACAUUUACAUAAGGAGAGGCCACCUACAGCCCGUUGGUGGGGUCACGGGGCUGUCAGGGAACAAGCAUGUUGCACAAGGAUCACAAUGACAUUAGAAGCAGGUACACCACGGGGGCACUGGUGUUCAGGUCCAUGUUCUGCAGCACUCUCCUGUGGUGGGCGGUGCUCUGUAUCUGAGGGUGUCACCGGACCUGCACAUUGGGUGGGAUUCCACACUCCUGAGCCAGUGCACAUGCGGUGGGCAUCUGGCCAUGCGGGUGUUUCGGCGGCCUCUUGUAAAUCCCUGCUCAGAUGGGGACAGCCUGGGGCUCCACUCUCAUCCACAUUGUACCGGGAGCCACACAGGCCACAGACAAUCUGUCAGCACAGGGGGCCCAGGGGGCUGCUCAUCCUUGUCAUUCUGGGCUGCACACAUGCCUGAGUACAUCUGCCCAGGUGGUACCCCACUCACGUGUACAUCCUACAGAGGUCCACUCCCACCCCAGGUGGUCGUGAAAUGCGGGUGGAUUUUUUCACAUCGCCACUUUGCCAGGUGUCCAAACACACCUGAGGUCAGGUCUUAGGGUUUCUGCUCACAGCCUGGUUGUAUAGGGCUGCAGGGUAGGACUGAGUUGCAUGGAACUCGGGCUGCCCUGCCCACGUGUACAUUCCAGAGUUGGCGAGGACGUGUGUGCCUUAGUGCUCCAUACCGGAGGUCUUCAGUACAUUGGGUGCUACUGCUCACGUUGUCAUUUCGGGGGCCUUCGCAUGUUUCUCUGCCUACAUAUACAUCAUAGAAAUUUUAUUAUACUUGAGUGUGCCAGGAGGUCAUUCACCUGCAUUUGUGUCCAAUUUUAGAGGACUCCUCUUUAUGAGAUAUGAUAUGCCUAGUGGUUUCUCCUGUCAUUCACAUUGUAGAGCGACCGUGAAUCCCUGGGCUUUCAGCAUAUGGAAGCGCUCUAUUCACAUUCAUGUUGGACUGAGUUCUACCAAUGCUGAUGUCAUUAGGCCACAAUGAUACUCUGUUUUUCAUCACAUGGUACAGGGACCCACACAUGCCUGCAUUCGUCAAGACAUUCAGAUGCUCAACCAUAUUCACAUUGUACUGGGCUCUACACAUACCUUAGUUUCUCAGAAGUGGUGAUUCUGGUUUAAUCCAUGUUUUGGAGGUUUCUAUACAUUCCUGAAAUUAUCAAGACUUAUUGGGGUAUGGGGUAUAUGCUAAUAUAUAGGUUUUGAAAUGCCCCACUUCCCUGAAAUGUUAGUAUGUUUUUGCUGUCUUAUCAUGUACUUGUUGUAGAUGCCUGAAGUAGGCACCCAUGAAGAGUUACCUCACAUCAUAAGUGAGAACUCCACACAGACCUUAGUUAAUUUGGACACGCGGAGCUCCAGUCCAUCGUCCGUGUACCAAGCUUCAUGUAGCUGACAAGGGGUUUUUCUGGAUUCCUCAAUUUGGAAAGCUCCACAUGGCUGAGGAAUUGAGAACUGAGCCCUCUGCGAAAUCAUGUUGUAGAAGGCCAUACAAGUACUUGCCUGAGCCAGUCAGGACACAGUACGUCUGUGGGGUGUCUGCUCAUGAUGAUGUAGAUUUCUGCAUACAGGCAUGGAAUGAUGCAUGUGAACUCCCUUCACAUUAGUGUUUUAAUAAACCAAGACAUUUUUAGUUUUUGGUACCAGGAGUCAAACUCAGGACUUUGUGCUUGGCAGGCAGGUGCUUGUACUGCUGAGCUUUAUCCCGGCCCACAUUAGUAUUUUAGAAAAUUCUGCUCAUCUGAUUUGGUCAAUCUUUAGGAGGUUGGCUUUGCUUUUCCUGCAUUUUUUUGUGAGAGGGUCUCCAUAUGUUGUUCAUGCUGGCCUUAAACUCACUCUGUAGCCCAGGCUGGCCUUGAACUCAAGGUGCUUCUCCUCUCUCAGCCUCCUGAGUGUUGGUGUUACAGUUAUGCACCACCAUGCCCAGCUUGUUCUGCACUUUAGAAGUCUACACAUAUACCUCAGAUGAUCAGAACAGCAGCAUCUCUGGUCAAAUCCAUUUUCCAGAGAACUCUACUCAGCCAUGAAUUGGCUAUAUAACAGGUCACCACAUCCCAUGCACACUGUGGAAGAUGCCUGAGACAUUCAAGAUGUUGUGGGGAUCUGCCUGUCUCCACAUUGUAGAGGUCUCAUGUCUAUCCCUGAAAUGGUUUGGACUUGGUGGGGCUUCACUCACAUUCACAGGGUACAGGGCGCCUCAGAGGUGUGAGAUGGUCUACACACUAGAGAUGUGGGGGCUUCUCACCUACUUCUGGCCAUUUCCUGGUGAGGGCUUUUGGUCCUCUGCUCACAGCCACACUCCAGAGGGCUCUACUUACCAGAGGUGCUCAAGACAAGGGGCGCACUUCUCACAUCGUUGUUUUAGAGGGCUCCAAAACCAGCUUCGAGUAUCAUGACCUGGAAGGCUCUAGCCACAUCCUCCUUGUGACCAAGGACUCCACAUACCUGAGAAAGUGAAGAGAAAGGUGUUCUCCUUACAUCCAUAUUAUAAAGGGGUUCUGCACCCAGCUGAGG
ensembl:lincRNA